rnacentral:rRNA from 1 species
AACGAACGCUGGCGGCAGGCUUAACACAUGCAAGUCGGGCGCCCCGCAAGGGGAGCGGCAGACGGGUGAGUAACGCGUGGGAAUCUACCGUGCCCUGCGGAAUAGCCCCGGGAAACUGGAAUUAAUACCGCAUACGCCCUACGGGGGAAAGAUUUAUCGGGGUAUGAUGAGCCCGCGUUGGAUUAGCUAGUUGGUGGGGUAAAGGCCUACCAAGGCGACGAUCCAUAGCUGGUCUGAGAGGAUGAUCAGCCACAUUGGGACUGAGACACGGCCCAAACUCCUACGGGAGGCAGCAGUGGGGAAUAUUGGACAAUGGGCGCAAGCCUGAUCCAGCCAUGCCGCGUGAGUGAUGAAGGCCCUAGGGUUGUAAAGCUCUUUCAACGGUGAAGAUAAUGACGGUAACCGUAGAAGAAGCCCCGGCUAACUUCGUGCCAGCCGCCGCGGUAAAAC